CGUGACCAUAGCCUCAUAGGUUGUUGCGUUGAGAUAUGAAUUGUUCUUAUGAAUAUGAAUACUUAAGUGCACCUAAAAAAAUUAUUAUAAAAUUUACUUGUUUAGAUGUAAGGAGUUUGCCUUUAUGUUUAAAUGCUUGCAAAGAAAGUUAUUUUUCUACUUAAACAAACUAGAUAAGGUAAUUGUUUCUUAUUGGGCUAUCAAGUUCAUUAUUUUCGUUUUCCCCUCCUUUACAUAGCCAAAGGAUUUGAGAUAGCAAGAUACCAUUACAGAGUGUGACCAGGUGCGAGAGCAUAUUUUUAGGGUGGCUUGGAAUUGGUCUUAUAAUUUUUAGUGUAGUUAUCGGAAUUGCUUUAUGCAAUUUCCUUUUGUGAUCAUGUUGGACUUUUAGCUUUUGGAGAAUUGAUGGAGUCAGAUUCUUAUGAAUAUUUUCUGUGGUUUCUUAUAAGAUUUUGAACUUGUUUGCACUGAUUAUGCUCUAUAUACAUACAUACAUAUGUACACACACACACACACAUAUAUCGAUUGAUCAAAUUACAGGUUAGAUGCCUUGCAUACCUGUAGGGAAGAACCCUAUUAGUGUGCAAAAGUUGCCAUGACUCUGGCUUAUGAUUUCAGG
rnacentral:lncRNA from 1 species